UGGGGAAUUUUGGACAAUGGGCGAAAGCCUGAUCCAGCAAUGCCGCGUGUGUGAAGAAGGCCUUCGGGUUGUAAAGCACUUUUGUCCGGAAAGAAAUCCUUGGCUCUAAUACAGUCGGGGGAUGACGGUACCGGAAGAAUAAGCACCGGCUAACUACGUGCCAGCAGCCGCGGUAAUACGUAGGGUGCAAGCGUUAAUCGGAAUUACUGGGCGUAAAGCGUGCGCAGGCGGUUUGCUAAGACCGAUGUGAAAUCCCCGGGCUCAACCUGGGAACUGCAUUGGUGACUGGCAGGCUAGAGUAUGGCAGAGGGGGGUAGAAUUCCACGUGUAGCAGUGAAAUGCGUAGAGAUGUGGAGGAAUACCGAUGGCGAAGGCAGCCCCCUGGGCCAAUACUGACGCUCAUGCACGAAAGCGUGGGGAGCAAACAGGAUUAGAUACCCUGGUAGUCCACGCCCUAAACGAUGUCAACUAGUUGUUGGGGAUUCAUUUCCUUAGUAACGUAGCUAACGCGUGAGGUUGACCGCCUGGGGAGUACGGUCGCAAGAUUAAAACUUAAUGAAUUGACGGGGUCAUAGCUGUUUCCU
rnacentral:rRNA from 1 species